rnacentral:rRNA from 1 species
CUUUACUGUAACUUGAGACUGAUUUCGGACUUUACUUGCGCAGUAUAGGUGGGAGGCGUUGAAAAUCUUCUUGCGGGAGGAUUGGAGCCAUCAGUGAGAUACCACUCUUGUAAUGUUAGAUUUCUAACUUUGUAUCAUUAUCUGGUCAAAGAACAGUUUCAGGCGGGCAGUUUGACUGGGGCGGUCGCCUCCCAAACGGUAACGGAGGCGCACAAAGGUUUCCUCUGAACGGGUAGAAAUCGUAUCUAGAGUGUAAAGGCAUAAGGAAGCUUGACUGUGAGACUUACAAGUCGAGCAGGGACGAAAGUCGGUCUUAGUGAUCUGACGGUGCUGAGUGGAAAGGCCGUCACUCAACGGAUAAAAGUUA